rnacentral:lncRNA from 1 species
GAAGGCCUAUUUGUCUGUUGUUGAUAAAGUUUUUUGUUAUUCGAUCCCGGAUGUUCCUGAGGCCAUUCGUUACUGAAUCCCUUCUAUUCCUGAGGCCUGCCGCUUUUCUAUGCUUAUUGUUCAAGCAAUUUGUGCUUGCUGUUCAAACAAUCUGAAUAUGAAGACCACUGCUUCAAUCGAUUAACCCAUGAACCUGACGACCUCAAGAUCCAACUCGUUCGUUUAUGCAACUCAUUGUUCAAACUCCAGAUGCUUUGUGUCAAGCAUCUUGAGUAUGAAGGAGAUAUAUAUCUUAAUCUUAUCAAGAGAUAUGUAUCCAUACAAAUGCAUAUCUGUACUGAUAUGUAUCAAUAUGAUACAUAUCCAUAUCCAUACGUUAACAUGUUUAUCCAGGUUUCACGUGUAAAUAUAGCACCCCACCGUAGGGCUUGUCAAGCUUAAAUUUGUAUAAAUCCGGUUUGAAAUAACCUCCCUAGGUUGUAUUUGACAAUCUGAGAAAGGGGAUCGGCACACAGAAUCGGAACUCUUUUAUCCUUUGUCAAGGGUAAGCUAAAAAGCAUCUACUUUUGGGAUGUCCUCGGGUCUUUGUAAGGCUCAAAGCCUUCAGAGAGUAUUCUAGAACAAUUCUUUAACCUACCUAGGGCUGUUGAAGAAAGCGUAUCAAGACCCCAAAGGGUAUUGGAAAAUUUUGGGCUCUAUCUGAACCCUGUCUAGUCUUUACGACACAUUUCACGUCUGGCGACGCACUUCGCGUUGCUGCUCACAGCAGAGCCUUUGAAUUUUCUAGUGGCCCUAUUUCAUCAGAGAUGUUUGUUCCCCUUCCACUUUCAGCUUUCAAUCUUUGAUAAUUGCAAAAGAAUAAAAGAUCAGGUAGUAUAUUUCUUACUUUAUCUCUGUUAUAUCUGCUCACUUUUGUGCUUUACCUACCAUAUUUCAUCUUCCCGAAUAUAUUGCGUGCAAUCUUUUACUUGAAAAGAAUAUCUUCUUAUGUAUUUUAUCGUGUGUAGGUGUUCCAUUUAGCACCUAUUGCACUAAAUGCUCUUCUCCACAUCCUUGAACAUAUCAACUGGGAAACUCGAAAAAUUAUUUCUAGCUUUAGAAAACCCCCUGAAAUUGGCACUGAAGUUCGUGAGGGGCACCUAGCCUAAUAGAGUUGGGACGGUCGGGAAUCACGCAACUUUCAUUUGAGCACCCAACUGAUCCAUGCUCUCAGGGCAGCACACAUAUAGUAGAACCGGAGUACUCCGUUCACAGGAGGCUCAGGCCUAUUUGGGUACCCAGAUAAACCUAGCUUCAUUUUAGUAUUUUGGAACCCCACCAAACCCAGCCUUACCCUAGUAAUAUAGGUCAAAUUAUUCAAUCAUUUAGUCUUGUGUCUAGCUCAUUAGGUUGGACAUAGGUCAACCCUCCUGUCUUACAACCAAAUUGGGGCAAGUCCUGGCGCACACUAUGAGUAUGUGGCCUAGUCAUGAGCCUGGUCCAAGGCAUUUCCGUUGGUCCGACGGGCACCUCGCCCUCCAGACCCAUGAGACCCGAGUAGGUGAGUUGAACCUCAACACACAUGCAAACAUUUUUAACCCUAAUCACCAAGUUUGUGGCUCCUAUAUUAUAAGAUUAAAAAAUAAUAAUUUUUCAUAUAAGUAAAAUUAGUAUCAUAUCAAACAUUUAUUAAUUUCUUUUUACUCAUUCAAAGUUAUCACAACCUAACUAAAUAUAAUAUUAUACAUUGGAAUUGAAAUUAUUGAUUUAUAUUUUUACAAGUAUGUUACUAUACAAAAAAGAAUAAAUUUGGAACUUAGUCUUAUAAUAUCAUCUAACUUAAAAAUCUAAUUUACAACUGCAAAAAAAAUAAUACAUUAUAUAAUUUACAAUAUAAUUAUAUUAAUAAAUAAUAUAUAAGGAGAAGUGAUCCAAUGCAACAGUUUUAUGGUGGAAUAAGAUGGUGAUGUGGUGUCAUAUCAUUUGUUAGAUAUAUCUAAAUUCAACAGUGAGAUGUGACUCAAAGCUCCACAAAUAACUCACCGAAGAAAGGCAUUUAAAAAAAAAAAAAUGGGGGAAACAGAGGCAGAGCCCUCUCCCAAGGCAAAGGCCUCACCAGGCUCGAACUCAUCCUCAAAGGGAAUCGUCUCCCACCAAGGAAAGCAAGUCCUAACCCAAAAAACCAGGUCUCUCUCUCUCUUUAGCAAAUCCUAACAAAAAAAACCAGAUACCCCCAUCUCUCUCUCUAAAUGCCUAAUACAUCAGUUACAGCAAAAAAAUUUGGUAACUCUCUCUCUAAAUGUGUGAAUAAGUAAAAUCAAAAGAAUUGUUACCGCUCUCUCUUUGUCUCUCUCAAAAUGUGCGAAUGGGUAAUACCCAAAAGAACAGUUACCCCUCUCUCUUUCUCUCUCUAAAUUCCCACCUGGGUGAUCAUACAUUUUAUGGAUUGUCAUUGCUCCAUUCUCAGAUCCCAAAAGCUCCAUUCUUAAUUUUGGAAUUGUGUUAAACACUAAUGAUUUCCUUUUUUUGUUCAUUUAUAAAAUUUAAGUCUAUUUACUCUAGUUGUUGCUUAGAUAAUAAAAAAAAAGAAGAAGCAAUUAUGGGUUUGUGUUCAAUUACUUAUUCUUUUGUUUUUGAGAUUCCUUUGCUUGAAAACCAUUUUCUCCAUGAUAUUGAUUUUUUGUUCUAUUACUUCUCAUGGAAAAAAGUUAUGACAAUUGCAUUUGAUUUAUGUAGGGAUUCUCUUGAUUUAUGCACGGAUUCUCUUGAUUUAUGCUUUAUUGUCUAAUUAUAGAUUUAUCGUAUGGGCUCUUAUUGCAUCUUCUGCCUAAGUUCUCAAAUUCAUUUAUGAUUUUUAAGUUAGUGUUUGACUAUGUUCAUCCCCAUUUUCUUAACUUUUGGGUUGUGAAGCACACCACAAAAUACCGAUUAAAAAACUAGAUGGUGCAGAAUAAGGCUAGAUUAAUGUAACGUGAAGAACCAACUCAUCUUCUGUAAGCAAUGUAGGUCAGUUGUCUUAAGAUUUUGUGCAUUACAUGAUGAAUUGUAUUAGAAGUUUCUUUUGUUAGCUUCCUUUGCUUCAUGGUGCUUGUGCUUUAUAUUUUGGGUGUUAUGGUGCUUGUAAUGGACUGGUUUUUUUUAUAAAGAUUUUCACAUUCCCCUUCACUUUGAUAUUUUUUUGAAAACCAUGUCAAGUUGACGUUCUCUUAAAGCUUAUUAUCUCUCUCUACAACCUCUAAUCUUAUAUAUGUUUGGAUAUUGUUAAAAUUGCAAAGUCCUCAUGAGAAUGAUGUUUCUUGCACAGGUUAUUAUUGCAUGCAUAUUGUCAUGGAAAUUGACAAAGAUCAAAGUCAUGCCCUCACUAAUGAUGUUGUGAGUUACGGUGAGAUGAAUGCUUUGGACAUUACUCCUAUUGUAGGUGACCAUGAGUAUACAGUUGAAGAUUUAGUGAUAGCUCCUCAUUAUGUUAAUGGUAAUGUUAGUUAUUUGUGGAGCUUUGAGUCAAAGCCCCUGCAUGAAGUUCGAAAUUUUCUGUCAUGAGGCACUGAAUAUGGAUGGUUUCAAUGAGUAUGCUUAUGAUAUAGUGAAUGCUUACGAAUUGUUGACUAUGCAUGAUUGUAAUAAGACAUGCCUAUGAGAUAUGAAUGAGCAUGGUUGUAAUAAGAUAUGCUUAUGAAUUAUUGAAUGCUUAUGAAAUGAUGAAUGCUCAUGUAAUAUUGAAUGAGCAUGGUUCAUGCCUAUGAAAAAGUGAAUGCUUAUGAAAUAGUGAAUACUUAUGAAAUAGUGAAUGUGCAUGGUUGUUAUAGGACAUCCUUCUGAAAUGAUGAAUGCUCAGGAGAUAGUGAAUGUCCAUAAAAUGAGACAUGACACAGAUGUGAUUUGAUAUGACAAGUAAUGUGAUAUGAAGCACUAUGCAACAGGUCAUCCAUUGGUAGUGUGAUGUGAUUUGAUAUGAUAAGUAAUGUGAUAUGAAGCACUACGCAACGGAUCAUCCGUUGGUAGUGUAUUGUGAUAUGAUACUGGUUAGGUGCCACGAUCUCGCCCUCCGGAUCUAGAUGAUCUGGCGGCACAUAUCUCGAGUUUCUAAGGAAUCCGGGACUUGAGAUCGCUCUCUCAGGAACCUUGCUCAAGAGCAAAGGCAGGUAUACCAACCGAUGAGAGCGGAAUUUAAGGUGGGUUCAGGACUUACUGGGGCUGGCUCGCGUGGGCGCCUUCUUAGAUCACAAAGAAAGCCCCUCAACUGCUUUAACUGAUUCGGAAGCGCCUGACCUGCGGUCACCUCAUUUUUUACACAGCACUAACAGAUUUAAUUUUCAAGACAAGUGGGCCUAAGGGACCCACCCUUGUCUUAGGGCAAUGUAGUUCACAUGAGAGGAUGAUGAAGUGGAGAGUUUGAAGAAAGGACGAAAAGGGAAGGGGACUUGACGAAGGGACGAGACUAGCAUGAUAGUCGGGCAGUGACCAACUCGGAGUGGUAACAAGACGGGCGUGGUACUCGGGACCAGCACGACGGCAAUACUACUCGAAAGCCGGACCGCUAUGGUGGUGUUAGACUGAGUCAAUCCUUAGUCAAGUGAGAAGAGGAAAGAAUGAAGAAAGGCGCGAAACGGCGAAGAGAGGGGGAUCCCGAUGGCUCUAAACGUUGCCACUCACGACCGUGGAGUAGCAGUGUCGCGGCCCUUGGACGGCGCUAGACACUACUGCUCAUAGCUAUAGGGUGAGUAGUGAACUACGAUCGGCGCUGGGCAUUGCCGUUGGCCACACGAGAAGGCAGCACACCCCUGCAUGGGCAGCAAUAGCCUUUUGUAAAGCACGUGGCAAUAGCCAAUUGCGAAGUGCACGGCGAUAGUUCUCUUUCUGAGGCAUACGGCAAUAGGCGUGGGACGCAAUAGAAAACUGUGGACGGCGAUGGGCACCGAACGCAAGAAAGAGGCUUGCGGUCAACGAUAGGCACUGAGCGCAUGAAGGAAACUCGCAAACGGCGAUAGGCACCGAGCGCGGGAAGCAAGCUCGUGGAUGGCGAUAGUCACCGAGCGCACAAAGGAAGCUCGUGGAUGGCGAUAGUCACCAAGCGCACGAAGGAAGCUCACGGACGGAGAUAGGUGUUGUUGCGACCCCUUGCGAGCAGCGAUAGACAUUGCCGUCUGCUAUAGGCAUGCAACAGGGGAAAACCCCUGCAGGUCGCAAUAAGUUUCGCCGUCUGUGCUCCUCACUAAGACGUCGAAGACACAUCUGAGGACGGCGAUGAGCAGCACCGUUUGCGAGCCUCGUCGAGAGACAGAGAUGAACGAACAAAAAGGGAAAGAAGUUUGCAAACUCGUGAAACUGCAGGAGGGAGAAAAAGAAAAGAAAGAGGCAUGCACGGCACUACCACUGUCGUGCAUGGCCUCUCUCGCCUUUGAGAGAGGCUCGGACAAAGAAGAAGAAGAGAGAGAAGAAGAAAAUAAAAUAACAAAAAAGAAGAGAGAAGAAGAUUUACCUCGAGCCUAGGGGUACCGAUCCAAAAGUUUCUCUCUCCUUCCUCUCUCUCUCUCAAUGUGACCCAAUAGUAAGAAAGAAAGGGAAUUAUAUUAAGUAAAAAUUCUCUUUUGGCGAAGGGUUCUAGCCUCUUGCGUACAAUGAUUGUACAUGGUAUAUAUAGAGUUGUAGCCAAACAUGAGUGGAUUUAUCAAAAUUAAACCUAAUUGCUAGAAAUUAAGAUUUAGCUGAAUUAAAAUAAAUUAAAAAAUAGGGUAUAAAGUCACAGAUUUGCCCCUUCCUAACAAUUUGUGGAUUUUCAAAAUAGUCCUUGUGCUGCCCUAGAACUUGUGUGAUCUUUCAUGGAUGAUCUGGGGUUGUUCUGCUACCCGUUUGAUCGAAAGAUAAUUGUUUUCUUAUAGGGCUCAGCAUGACAAUCAAUUUGAUACCAACUUCAAGCUUUUGAUGGUGUUUUUAGGCCACGAUCAUGUGACUUGAAAUUUGGAUGAAUCUUGAAACUUUAGAUCGAUAAUAUGCUCAUUCCUUGAUCUUUUUCUGUGAUUUCUUCAUUGGAUCACACUGAGCAUGUCGUCACGAUCGCGUGGCAAUAAACGCAGCUCGAUUCCAUGUUCAGACAAAGAUUUUGCAACUUUGGAGUUUUCGCUGAAAUCUGGAAUUUCGGUGUCAAAAUUCGCAGUCAUUUCAUCGGCUUUGUGUACGGAAUCCGACCCUUCAUCAUAUACGGGGUUUGGACUGGAGAUAACCCUAGACCUUAUGCACGUGAUGGAACUGGUUUCGCGUCAAUUUGGUUCGCGAGCGAUGUGAAUUGGCUGCUUGAUUUUCCUGCAACUUUCUUCACGGAUCAACAACUUAUCUUUAGCUUUUCUUCACGCUCAAGCGUUGUCGCGAGGCAUGCCACAUAUCAAAACGCUCGUCUCGACGAGACGAACACGCUCCAUCAAGUUUGAGCCCGAUCUGAUCUCGGAUGAGGGGAGAUAUAAGCAUCGAAAGUCACUAAGCGUGACUGCCCCUUUAAUGGAGUUUAGUUGCAGGCUCGCCGCACGGGAAUAGUGUGCGGCUCCUCUUGUUUCGGUCUUUCGCCUAUAAAGUUUUCCUAGAGUGUCUCUUUAUGUUGAAAUUUGACCCCUAGGGGUUUUCAACCGUGUUGGAUCCAAUGGCAGUUGUCCCAUAGCAAUUUGACGCACCAAAAAUAUAGUUUUAGUUAUAGGGUCCAUUUUAAGGUGUUAGAGGCUGAUUCUGUGAACUCGUUUCUUUGUCUUCACUGCUUUAGACCUGUCAAAAUGCAACGAAACUUGGCAGAAGGCUUUGAGAGUCUUUAUGAAGAUCUUGACCAGUUAUGGGGCCAUUCUGAGACUGUUGAAAUUCUACUGUAUGUUAGGCUUUAUUGACCAUGGACCCAUUAUGAUAAAAAUUGUCUUCCAACAGCAUGCCACACCGAUUGUUGUGCUUUGAGAGAAGCAAGAAGUACAAUCAUUUGGGAGAUUUCCCCUGGCUAGCCAUAGGACUACGUGAACGCUGAGGAGAUCCACACAAUGUUGUAACUAGGAUGCUCAGACGUCUGGAUGCAAUGUACGGAUCUAUUCGUGGAGGCUUUAGGGGGAGAAGAGACUUUUUGAGGGAUUUGCAGGAGUCCUCACCCCUCACCCUUGAGGGAAUAUUUGUGAUUCUGACAACUUGAGGAUUUUAUAGGGACCUCAUUGAUAAGAAUCAGGCCUAUCAAGCGGCCAAGUGCUAUGAACCUUUGGUCGGCAUUGUUUGCUGCUACACCAGGUUUUCUUUUGAUGAUCAGGGUAUCUCUGUAGGUCUCGUUCAGCGGGUCCAAUCGGCGUCUUCUUACCUGUCCCAAAGAUCUAGGGGGAUUUUGGCGAGGCGGCCUCAUGGGCCCCAUCCUGCCGGGUCCAGUCAGGGGCUUCUGACCUGUCUCAAAAAUUUGGGCCUGACGGCUAAGGAAUGUUUUUAGCAAGGCGAUCUCAUGGUGAGGAAUAACCCCGAAUUCUCUGGCAGGUUAGGCCCUGAUUUAUCAGUUUCUUACCUUCAUGGGGAUCUUUAGCAUUUUGGAGGGAUCUUUUAGUCGUCAUCCUCACCCUCAAGGACUCUCUUUGUUUUUGGAGGAAUCUUUUGGUAAUCGUCAUCACCCUCAAUGGCUCUUUUUAUUUUGGUAUUUGGGAGAUCUUGUGAGGCUCUCACUCCCGAGUGAGCCAUCUUGUGUUGUGAUUGGAUGCUGACAACUACAGAUUUUGUGUGGACUUCGCUAGUCAGAAUUACCCAUGUUGGCAAUUGGGUGUCGGCUGAGGCUGUGGUGCUGCGUCAACCCGCUUUUUGUUGGCCCAAGCGCCAUUUACGGGUUUUCACCUGGACUGGGGAAGUGGCACCUUAAAUACGGUUUCACCAACUUUCUUUUAUUCAGGGAUUUUUUAUCCAUGAACUUUCAGACAUGUCCACCCAUUCCAUCCGUUUUUGCUCACAAUGCCCUAUAGAUUGUCACCAUGCCCAGGUUUUUGUUUUCAUGGAACUCUUUUACUUAUGGUUUCGUGACCAUGCCCGUUCGUUAUUGUUACUCAUGGCGUUCUCUUGUCCAGGUAUACACCAUGCCCGUUAUAUGUGAAGGCAUGUUUAAGGUCAUGCCUUCGGGAACCGUGCGAACUAUAGUUUAGGGUCAUAUAGCUGGACCGUAGUGGAUAUGGAUGACAAUCUAUAAGGGCCAUGGGGUGAGAAUGGUGGUGAUUUGACUUACUUUGGGGAGAUGGCAUGAGGCUACCUAUGAAAAGUGGAAGAUGUAUGAAUGGAAGGUGAAAAGUGGUGACCCACUAGCUAAUGGCAAGUAUGAAUGGCGGGAUGGUUUUCCAUUUUGUGAGCAUGGGUGAGACUCACUUAGGAAUGAUGAAUAGUGGCAGUGAAGUGAAUGGGUUCAUUGAGGAAGCAAUGAAGGUGGUGUGCGCACAUGGAUGGGUCGGUUAGGGAAGGCGUGCGUGAAGAUGCAUGUAAAAGGAGGUGUGCGCAUAUAUGAGGGUGUGUUUAAGGUCAUGCCUCCGGGACCUGGGCAAAGCAGUUUAACGUCAUGCGGUCAGGACGUGCACUACGUUUUACGGUCAUAUAGCUUGAACCGUGGUUAUACUAUUUAAAGUCAUGCAACUAAGACCAUGCAUUUUAAGGUCAUGCAACUAGACCUCCACUACAGUUUAAGGUCAUAUAAUUUGGACCAUGCAGUUUAGGGUCGUGCACUUAGACCACAGCUCUGUAGUUUAAGGUCAUGUAGCACGGACCAUUGUAUGGGUCGCCAUGUAGGUAAAAGUCCAUGGAGGAUAAGUCUGUGGAUAGCAAUCUGACUCCCUAGGGAACAAGCAGAGAGAUUAAGAUGAAGAUGGCGGCUCCAUGCGGAGUGGCAAGCAGAAGCGGACUUAACUGGGGAUUAAGAGGGCAAGUGUGACUCCUUGGGGAUGAUGAGUAAUGGUGUGCAUGUAACUCUGAGAAUGAUAGGCUAGAGCACAGAUGAAACCCCAUUGGGGGUUGAAAAGAUAAGAAUGAUCGUAACUCCCUGGGGAUAGUGGGUUGCAAUAAGAUGUGACUCCUACUGGGGAUGUUGGUGUGAAACAAACCCUCUGGGAAUUGAAGGGGUAAGUGCGACCCCUUUUUAUUUGCAUACACCUACCUCCACUAGGGAUGUUGAUGAAAUACACCUAACGAAGAGGUGGUCCAUCUUACAAUUAAAGUCACGCGUAUGGACUAUUUGUCGCAAUGUGCGUUACAGUUUUAAGGUCUUGUAGCUUGGACCAUGGUUACGCAGUUUAAAGUCAUGCAGCUAGGACCAUGCAGUUUUAAGGACGUGCAACUAGAACGCCGUUACAGUUUAAGGUCAUAUAGUUUGGACCAUGGCGCUAAGCCUUUUAACGUUAUGCGGCCAAGACGUGCAUUAUGAUUUAAGGUCAUACAACUAGACCGUGGUCCUGCAAUUUAGAGUCAUACAAUGAGGACCAUGCAGUUUAAGGUCGUGCAACUAGACCUUUGCUACAAUUUAGGGUCAUAUAGUUUGGACCAUGCAGUUUAGGGUCGUGCACAUAGACCAUGAUUUUACAGUUUAAGGUCAUGUAGAAUGGAUCGUGGCUGUGCAGUUUAAGGUCGUGCAACUCAGACCAUUGCUGUGUAUUUUAAGGUCAUGUAACACGGACCAUGGCUGUGUAGUUUAAGGUCUUGCAGUGCGGACCAAGGCUAUGCAGUUUAAGGUCAUGCAGCACGGACCAAGGCUAUGCAGUUUAAGGUCAUGCAGCACAGACCAUGGUUAUGCAGUUUAAGGUCAUACAGCACGGACCAUGGUUAUACGGUUUCAAGUCAUGCAACUAGGACCAUGCGGUUUAAAGUCGUGCAACUAGACCUCUAGUACAGUUUAAGGUCAUAUAGCCAUGCAGUUUAAGGUCAUGCACCUAAACCACGACUGUGUAGUUUAAGGUCAUGCUGCACAGACCAUUCCCGUACAGUUUAAGGUCAUGCAAUACGGACCAUUGUUGUGCAUUUUAAGGUUAUGCAACACGGACCAUGGCUGUGCAGUUUAAGGUCAUGCAGCACGGACCAAGGCUAUGCAGUUUAAGGUCAUGCAAGAUGGACCAUGGCUAUGCAGUUUAAGGUCUUGCAGCUCAGACCAAGGCUAUGCAGUUUAAGGUCAUGCAGCACAGACCAUUGUGUGGGGGGAAUGUGACUUCAGGAGGAAUAGAGCUGUAAUUGGGGACUUGACUCCCUGAGGAGUGAGGCUGUGGUGCAGGGAAUGAACUUCUUGAAGAUGCAAAAUGCUGGUCCAGAUGGGAGUGUCAUGGCAUGCGCACAACACUAAGUCUUGGAUGGCGCACGCAGCAUUGGGCCUAAAUGACGCGCGCAUGACGUUAGGCCUGUUGUGAAGCCCACGGCGUUACCUUCCAGUUAGGCGCACGACGAUAAGUCCUCAGUGAAGUGUGUGGCGAUUAGUCUUCAUGAAGCACACGGUGAUAGCUCCCUUGACGAAGCGCACGACAACAACUCCUUGACGAAGCGCGCGGCGAUAGCCUCCAAGUGAAGCGCGCGACAAUAACUCUUUCAAGUCUUAGGCUUGACUCGCCCCGACCUAGUCUUAUUGCAGUCAAAAGCUAGGGACUGGAGCAUCAUUUCGAAUUUUGUGAAGGGCAGUUUGUGGCACAACUGAGUAUAAAGGAGGAAAAACCCCAUUUUACUGUUUUACCGAAGGGUAAAACAGUCGAAGAGAGUUUUUUGAAGAGAGAGCCGGAGCAUCCAUCAGGAGUUUCCCAGCUAGAGUUUUUCCUGCCAAAAUCUGCAGUACCCAAGCUUUCAAGAGUUUUCUGGCAAGCUUGAGCAGGUUGUGGGCCUUCGCAACGUGCUUGCGAGUGUUUUUGGAGAGUGCAAAGGUUUUUUGGGCAGCGAAGAGGGGCUUCUUAGAGCUUCGCCGAGACCUUUUCGGUGAAGCUGCGAGCGUCACAAUGGUGCUUUGCAGGAGUUUGAGUGCUUUUUCGGUAUUUCCACGAUUGCGGGUAGGUUGCAGAAGGGUCAGAGAGCUCUGACGGUCCUCUGGUUAUCGAAAUAGGAGGAGCAGUAGUGGGUUCACUGAAAUCACAGUGAAAUUUUUGUGAGUUGUGGCGAACUGCAAAAGUGCAAAAACAUGGAGAAGGGAAGCCCGUAGGGUCAUAGGGACGCUUUCUGGGGAUUUCGAUGAUUUUCACCGACUCUAGUAACAAGUAGAAGCCGGGGAAGGUUUUCCAGUGAACAAGAGUGAGUUCCUGACGAGAAAAGGGUGAAAACCUGAGGCGUCACGGGCCUACAACGAUCCGGAGAUGAACGGUUGUGGAACGGCAAACCGUCGGCAAGGAGCGAUGGUUGGGGAAACUGGAGAGGUGUGGGAGUUAAUGCCUCCCGGGAACUGGGAACAGUGGGAACUAGGGUGCCGCGAGGGCAUGCAUGAUAUUAAGUUGCAUGCAACGCUACCUUCACGCGUCUCUAAGUUGCGCACGGGAUAGCCACACUCGGGAGCAUGCCACUCGCGGUAAUGAUCUCGUGCGACGUUGGCCUGUCGGUAAUGAUGGUAGCACGCGGCGUUGAGCUGCGCAUGGUAGUGGUCACUUGUGGCAUUACGUCACACAUGGAGAUGAUCAUUCGUGGCAUUGAGUUGCCCUCGGCGAUGCCUUGUGGGGGCCAAGAGUGAUGACAAAUGAGAAGGCUCAGUUACUAUGGUCUGUUGGAAGUCAAGUCCUCCAGCAUAACAGUGAAGUCCAUGUUGUUUUGGAGGAAGGGAAUCUAUCAUGGGCCAGCUCCUUGCCAGAGAAGUCUGCUUUGUAUGUCAGAUGGAUUGAAGCGGACUUGAAAAUGAUUGGCUUCUUCUUUUGUCCUGUAACCAUCCUCUUUGAGAACACCCGGCAGAUGAACUGAAGCUGACUUCCAAGUGGUUUUGCUUCUUCUUCAUGAUAAGGGCGUUUCUUUUUUACUUGUAACUGUCUUCUUAUCCUUAGAUGCAAGAGCUUUGUAACCUCCCUAAUAAUGGGCUUGCGUGUAGCUUGUAACCUUUUCUAAUGCAAUGAAAGAAAUGAAUUUCCUUUGGGUCGACUUAAUGUUCUUCUUUUCCAUUUCUUCUUUUUACUGCAUGCCCUGCAUAUCAAGGAUAGUACUUCUUUAAGUAUCACCCAUUGAUAGGGGGCAUCUCUUCUCCUCCAUCCGAGUUUGCCAGUAUAUAGGCCCCAUUUGGUGUGAUCUUUUUUACUAUGAAUGGACCUUCCCCCUUGGGUUCGAACUUUUCGGUGUCCAUGCAUGACAAUUGGUCUCUUGACUGCUAAGAUUAGAUCUCCACGGACGAGAGCGAACCUUGACAGAUUUGUCAAAGGCUCUCUUCAUUCUCCCCGGGUUGAGCUCGAGGUUCUACUGGGCCCCUAGUCUCCUUUUGUCAAGGGCAUCCAACUCCUGAUAACGGAGCUUGACCCUCUCAUCUUCGGUUAGUCCUUGAUGUAUAGUGACACAGAGUGAAGGUAUUUGAACUUCGAGGGGUAAAACCGCCUCACCUUCAUAGAGCAGGGAAUAAGGGGUAGAGUUUGUAGCAUUGUGAGUGGUGGUGCGAUAGGCCCACAGAGCUUCAGGCAGCUUCUCAUGCCAAUUCUUCCUUGACUCCAAAACUGACUUCCGGAGCACCCUGCACAAGGUUUUGUUGAAUGCCUCAACUAAAUUGUUGGCUCCAGGGUAGUACUUGGUCAAGUAUUUCCACUCGAAGCCAAACUAGUUGACUAGGCGAUCAACGUGAUGGCUUUUGAACUGAGGGCCAUUAUCAGAGAUUAUUUGGUCCGGAACCCCGAACUGUUAUAUGAUGUGGAGACGCGCGAAGUUGGCCACAAUGGUCCUAGGAACCUGCUUGAGAGGGACUGCUUCAGUCCACUUGGAAAAGUAAUUUGUCACUACUAAAAUGAAGGCAUGACCCAAGGUAGAAAGAGGGUCAAUGGGUCCUACAAUAUCCAUACCCCACUAGGAAAAGGGCCAUGAUGUCACUGUAGGAUGGAGAGGCUCCGGGGACUAAUGAAUGAGGCUUGAGUGAAUUUGGCACAUUUGGCAUCUUUUAGCAUAGUUUUGGGCAUCAGCCACCAUUGAAGGCCAAUAAUAGUCAAGCCUGUGUAUGCGCUCAUAGAGCUUAGGGCUGGACUGAUGCAACCCGCAGAUAUCUGAAUGCACUUCUUCGAGUACUUUGCUUGCUUCUUGUGUAUCGAUGCAUCUGAGGAGAAUUCCAUCAAAUGAUCGACGAAAGAGAACAUCCCUAUCGAGAAGGGUGUACUUGGUAGACAUAAGUCGUAUACCAUUGUGUUCCACCAGAUCUUCAGGCAGCCUUCCAUGUUUUAUGAAAUUCAUGACGGGCUCCCUCCAAUCUCCUACUUGUUCUACCUCUACACACAUUGGUUCAAAGGAUUCAGGCUCCCGCUUCUCAGCUUUGGAUUCUUUACCUCAAGACAUUUCCUGCUCUACCUUAAUGACAUCCUUGGCAGUGAGGAGUACUCCAAACGGAUAAGGCAGGCAUUCGGGGAAGAUAUCUCUCUCUUCAUCUGCUUCAACUUCGGCUCUCAAGUCGACAUGUCUCCAUUCUGUUACCCAGAUAGGUGUGGGCCUGAUGAGGAUAAUUGAAUGGUAGCCUCGAGCUUUAAGAGCGCAUCGGCCUACGAGUUCAGCCUCCUAGGGAUAUGACUCAGAGAGAAAUCAUCGAACUGGGCCAUAUAAGAUUUGGUCAUGUUAUGAUAAGGCUUAAGGGUAUCCUUCCGCGUGUCAUAAAUCCCUUUAAGCUACCGGAUGACCAGCUCAGGGUCGUCGAAGAUGUUUAGCUGCCCCAAGUCUAGCUCUUGGGCGAUCUCCAAUCUGAUUAUGAGGGCUUGAUAUUCAACUUCAUUAUGAGAAAAUGCCUCUACAAAUGAGAAGGAUAGAGGAAUCAUUCCACCGUCGGGAGUCAGGAACACGACUCCGACACGCCCUCUAUCAGACUGGAAUGCACCGUCGAAAUACAUCUCCCACAGCCAAGUUAGCACCAUAUAGAAAACUUUUUCAUCGUGGAGAUCAGUCGACACAGGAGAUUCCGAAGGGACUGGGUGAGCCGCGAGAAAUUCUGUUAAGGCUUGACCUUUGACUGCCUUCUGUGGUACAUACGUGAUGUCAAACUCCAUCAACAAUAAUGCCCACUUGGCCAAGUGUCCUAACAGACAUGGUUGGGUCAUAAGGAACUUGACCGGGUCUGCCUUGGAGAUUAACUUGACCUCAUGACCGAGCAAGCAAUGGCAGAGCUUCUGUACUGCAAAGAUCAAGGCUAUUAUGUUGUCGUCGGAAUUGGACGUGCGUAGGGGGUAUUUUAGGUCUUGCCCCGGCUUUGACCAUUGUGGGGUGCUUUUAGCGUUGUCAGCCAUAUUGGACAACUCUCGAGCUGUUGAUGACUCAGGGAAGUCCGCCUGGUUGGACGCCAGGAUAAGGCGAGCUGUGCCUGGGAUGAAGUCUUAUAAGGUUGGCAUUGGAGGAAGAGGGCAGAUAAAUUCUUCCUCGACUAGUGGUUGAGGAAAACGAUUCCUUCGACGAGUGGACCUGGGUGCUCGUUUCCUUUUGGAUCCUUGGGGAGGGGUUUGGUUCAUCUGCUUGGGCUAAUGAGUAACCCUGGCUUGGUGGAUUGCCUCACGCUUCAAGAAUUUGAGCCUACUUUGUCCAUGGUAGACUUUUCAGGGCUGAGAAGUAGAAGGUUAUGGAAGGUACGAGGUAUCCUCAUAAGGGACCUGCAUUGGGACUUCCUCUUGGACAAGAGUGACGGCUUGGAAGCGCUCUGAGAGAACGGUGCAAACAAUGUGGCCUUCCUGUACCUUCUCAGCGACUACAACUUCAAACCCAAAGCAUUCUUUCAGCUAGUGGCCUCAUACUUGGUGAUAUGGACACUAGAGGUUUUCUGUACCCUGGGCAAGACACUUAGGCUGCCUGGCGGGCAUGGGAGUGAUAAGUCCAUGUUGGAGCAUUGCUUCAAAGAGGGCCUGUAGAGGAUCUAGCGAUUCCCUGGACUUGUGUCGGGAGGUCUUCUUACGCUGGUGGAAGAGGGACUUGAGGGUGUCCUUCUGGGUUACUAUGAGCUUCUUGGCAUUACUACAUCUUCUUUGCCAAGAGCUCAUGGAAGCCAGUGCAUUCGCUCAGGUCAUGGCCUCGUAUGAGAUGAUACGAGCACCAGAGAUUCUUAGUUCUCGAAGGGAGAAACUGGGGCUACCUUGUCGGCUUUGGCAUGAUGUGUCCUAUUUCGAGCAUUAUGGAAAAUAGUGCAUGGAGGAUGGCGGCAUCUUUUUAGAUUGUGACUAUGUGAAAAGCCUCAGUUGCCCCGAACGCUUUCUUUAGCUCUUCAAACUUUAUUUAUUGUUAAUAAGGGCUUUGAUUGUGUCUUUGAGCUUAUAGCUUGUUCUUCAGUGUUGACCUCUGGCAGUUGGAUCAUGUUUUGCUCGAGUAGUAGUCGAAGCAAUGCAAGAACCCACUCCUUGUCAAAAGGAUACACCUUAUUCUAGUGAUGGAUCCAUAAGUCACUUCGAUUUAUAUUUUAGGGGGCGAGACCUGAUUGUAGGACUGCUGCUUGCCCCCGGCCUGGGGCAUCUGUGCCUUGGAGAGUCCAAGGUUUGGGGGGUAGCUUUGUUAGUGUCGUCACGGUGACGGCCACACUGAUCACCGCUUUUUGCCGGUUACCCCGACUGUUGGAGUGAGAUUCGAGUCGGAGGGUUGCUGACAAGAUCUGCCAUGGUGCUUGGACAGACCCUCAAUACGAACUGCCUUAGAGAUGAGCUAUGACAUGGAGGGUGGAUUGGAGGCCUCGACAUGCAGGGCGAUCUUGGGACGUUUGCAGGUCCGGACAGCUUCCUUUUCAGUCAUGAGAGUGGAAUGAAAGUUUGCCAGCUCUCUCCAUCGGGCGAUGAACUUGUCAACUGGCUCAUCAGGGUCUUGAGUCAAAGUGAGUAGCUCAAUAGUUUCUACGUUCCUUUGGACUUCAUCGAAGCAUUAGUAAAACAACUGCUUCAUUUCCUACCAGGUGUGCACCAAGUUUGGAGGCAGCCGAACAUACCACUGGAAGGCUGGCCCUUCGAGAGUCUCGACAAACUGAUGGAGGAGGGGUCGCCAAGACGCUUGGAAGUGAGCAGUAUGCUGGUGCGGGCAUUGAACAAGGGGAGGUUCCCUUUUUGAUAGUUCGAGGGAAACGACACUUGGUCGAUGUAUGAGGGAUAAAAAUUUUGGUAAAGCGGCGCCUCUUGCAUGCCCAAGACGUUGUUCUUGAUGUUAUGGGCUACCAUGGCAUCUAUGUCAGUUUGGGAAACCCCGCAAGAAGGAGAGUUGUCUUGGCAGACCGGUGGGGGAGUUUGUCUAGGAAUUGUGUCUUCACCAGACGGGGAAUCGGUCUCAUGGUGAGAAGAAGGGGACCUGGAGGCCUCUAGACGAUCCAUCUUUUCGAGGAUGGACUGCAUCAUUACCUCAAACCUGUUCAUCUGCUCUUCUUGGGUGUCGUCCGGCUCGUUGUUCACCAUGACACUGACCAUUUCUUCUUGAGGGUCAGAGCCAAGUGGAGUAGUGGACUGUAGGGCUUGGAGAGUCGUACAAGGCAAGUCGGUCUGUAGGGGCUCAGCAUGCCUCGACUGGACUCGAGCCUUGUACGCUGACCUUGUGAGGAUCGAUUCUCAACGAUCCUGGGAUCGUGGCUUCUGGACAAUGAUCACCAAGCAAUAUUCUUGGACUUGCUCAGGCUCUGGGAUCCGCAAAGGGAAGAAGGGAUUAUGGGGCAGGAGGUCACUAAGGGUGGUGACCUCGACUGCCUUAGAGGCUUCUCUGGUCAGGAUCUGCAGGCCUCUCUUCUGCUUAGUCUUGAGGCUGCUGUGGACUUCACCCUAGAACCGGGUCUAGGAUUUAGAUUGCCCCACUUUUCUUGAGUAUGAGAGGGAUGUGUCUAUUAAUUGGGGCAAAGAGUGGGGUCCAAGGACAAAAGGCAACCUGGGUUUCUACCUUGGAGGUUGGAGGCAUUCGUCUAACAUCAAGUAGUUGCUCUGAAUUCCCUUGUGGGGCUCGGAUGCAUGCCUAACUUGAGGCGGCUAACUCAAAAUGGUACUCUUAGGGAAAACCUUUGAGUACCAGGUCUCAAGGUGGUUGCCUAGUGAAGGAGGAGUGACAGAAGAAAGAUUUGGCUCAUGACUCUGCUUGAGUCAGGAUCGGGGAGGAACCUGCAAAGCCGGUGCAUGUGCAACUUUAGGAUUAGCCGUCCGGGUGACCUGGGGGUCAGCCGGGCUUAGUCAAUGAGUUCGACCUUGAGAGGUCAUAACCCAUGAGCUUGUGUUUGUAAGGGACUGGGUGGGAGCCUAUCUCUCACAAGAUGAAGCUGUGUGGUGAGAGGGAGGACAAAGUGGUCGACCCUCAUGUGCUCGAGCGGACGCAGAACUAACGCUACCCCGAGCUGUGGGAUGCAUGGUGCGCGCAGGGUUUGGCCCGAGAAGGCCUAGCCUUGAACGCGAGUUCGAAACAACAUGAAAGUUGCCCCGAGUUGUGGCUCGAGUGGAUGGACCACGAGCCCUUAGGUGUGUGUGUGGGGUGGAGACCUCAGGAUCUCCGCCUCAGUGUGCCAAGGCUCCGGGUGUAGAGGUUCGAGGUAGUGAAGGAGUUCCGGGGGUAGCCUUACAGUGGCCCUGAUAAACGAUGGCAACUUUCUUACCUUUCGUGAGAGUGGAUAGGCCAGCCUUCCGACGUACCUCAGCAAUAUGACUGGCAAGGGACUUGCCAAUAGCACGGUGCAUGUUGUGUGUGGUAGCGGAGGUGCUACCAAUGCGAGGGGCAUUGGUGGAGGGUCCACCAGAGCGAGGAAGCGAGGAGUCAGGGACCUUUAAGUCCCCUCUCGCACCAACCCAAGAAAGAACCUGGGAGCCGGACCGUGAGUCCUGACUCAGAAGGAGUGUAGGGAAGGAGGCUUGAGUAGCUCGCUUCCCUGAGACGAUCAUGAGUGCAGGGAGGAGAAAAUCCCCGACUCGGAUAAACAGGUUGAAUAACUCGAUGCUAUAGAAAGUAGUGCAGAAAGUAAAAGGUGAUACUGAUCAAACAAGAGCGAACCGACGAAGGAGUAAUAAGUCCCCAGUGGAGUCGCCAAGCUAGUUAGUUGCCUCGAUCUUGCCCUCCGGAUCUAGAUGAUCUGGCGGCAUGUAUCUUGAGUUUCUAGGGAACCUGGGACUUGAGAUCGCUCUCUCAGAAACCUUGCUUAAGAGCAUGGGUGCCCACUUAGAUCACGAAGAAAGCCCCCCAGCUGCUUUGGCUGGUUUGGAAUCACCUCCCUUGACUUUCGAUCACCUAGUUUUCUGCACAGCACUAACAUGGUUAGUUUUCAAGACAAGUGAGCCAAAGGGACCCACCCUUGUCUUAGAGCAAGCAAUGUAGUUCAGGUGAGAGGGUGAAGUGGAGAGUUUGAAUAAAGGACGAAAAGGGAAGGGGACUUGACGAAGGGACGAGACUAGCAUGAUAGCCGGGCAGUGACCAACUUGGAGUGGUAACAAGACGGGCGUGGUACUCGGAACUAGCACGAUGGCAAUACUACUCGAAAGCCAUACCGCUAUGGCGGUGCUAGACUGAGUCAACCCUUAGUCAAGUGAGAAGAGGAAAGAAUGAAGAAAAGGAGCAAAACGACGAAGAGAAGGGGGUCCCGACAGCGCUAGGCAUUGCCACUCACGACCGUGGAGUAACAGUGUCACGGCCCUUCGAUAGCGCUAGACGCUACUUCUCAUGGCUAUAGGGUGAGUAGUGAACUACAGACGGCACUGGGCAUUGUUGUUGGCAAGACGAGAAGGCAGAACACCACUGCGUGGGCGGCGAUAGCCUCUUGUGAAGCACGCGGUGAUAGCCAAUUGCGAAGCCCACGGCGAUAGUUCUUUCUGAGGCACACGGAGAUAGGCGUGGGACGUAAGAGAAACUUGCGGACGGCGAUGGGCACCAAACGCACGAAAGAGGCUUGCGGUCGGCGAUAGGCACUGAGUGCACGAAGGAAACUCGCUGAUGGUGAUAGGUACCGAGCGCUCAAAGGAAGCUCGCGGACGGUGAUAGGUACCAAGCACGCGAAGGAAGCUCGAGGGGCGAUAGUCAACGAGCGCGCGAAGGAAGCUUAAGGACGGCGACAGAUGUUGCCACGACCCCUUGCGGACGGCAAUAGACAUCGUCGUCUGCGAUGGGCACGCAAUAUGAAAAAACCCCUAUGGGCAGCAAUAAGUUUCACCGUUUGUGCUUCUCACUGAGACGUCGAGGACACAUCUGCAGACAGCGAUGAGCAACGCCAUUUGCGAGCCUCCUCGAGAGACAGAGAUGAACGAACUUAAGGGGAAAGAAGUUCGCACAUGGUGCUGCCAUGGCCAUGCGUGACCCGUGAAACCGUAGGAGGGAGAAAAAGAAAUAAAGAGGCAUGCACGACACUGUCACUGUCGUGCAUGGCCUCUAAGAGAGGCUCAGGCGAAGAAAAAGAAGAAGAGAGAGAAGAAGAAAAAGAAGAAGAAAAGAAAAUAACAGAAAAGAAGACAAAGAAAGAUUUACCUUGAGCUUAGGGGUACCGAUCUAAAAGUUUCUCUCUCCUUCCUCUUUCUCUCAACGUCACCCAACAAUAAGAAAGAAAGGGAAUUCUAUUAAGUUAAAAUUCUCUUUUGGCGAAGGGUUCAAGCCUCUUGCAUACAAUGAUAGUACAUGGUAUAUAUAGAGUUGUGCCCAAACAUGGGUGGAUUGAUCAAAACUAUACCUAAUUGCUGGAAAUUAAGAUUUAACUGAAUUAAAAGAAAUUAGAAAAUAUGGUGCAAAAUGACAAAUUUGCCCCUUAAUUUGUGAAAUUCCAAAACAGUCCUUGUGCUGCCCUAGAACUUGUGUGAUCUUUCAUGUAUGAUCCGGGGUUGUUCUGAUACUCGUUUGAUCGAAAGAUGAUUUUUUUCUUGUAAGGCUCGACAUGACGAUCAAUUUGAUACCAACUUCGAGCCAUGGAUCGUUCUUUUAGGCCACAAUCAUGUGACUUGAAAUUUGGAUGAAUCUUAAAAUUUCGGAUCGACAGUGUGCUCGUUCCUUAAUGUUUUUCUAUGAUUUCUUCAUUGGAUUACACUGAGCAUGCCGUCACGAUUAUGUGACAACAAACGCAGCUUAAUUCCAUGUGCAGACGAAGAUUUUGCAACGUUGGAGUUUUGGCUAGAAUUUGGAAUUUCGGUGUGGGAAUUUGCAGUCCCUUCAUCGGCUUCGUGUGCAGAAUCCGACCGUUCUUCGUGUAUGGGGUUUGGACUAGAGAUAGCCCUAGACCUUACGCAUGCAAUGGAACUGGUUUCGUGUCGAUCGGGUUCAUGACCUGCGUGAUUUGGCCGCUCGAGCGAGGUGCAACGCUGUUGAUUUUCCUGCAACUUUCUUCACGGAUCAGCAAUUUCUCUCUAGCUUUUCUUUGCGCUUGGCCGUCGUCGCGAGGUGUGCCACAUAUCGAAAUGCUGGUCUCGCCGAGACAACACGCUCCACCAAGUUUGAGUGCGAUCCGAUAUUGGAUGAGGGAGAUAUAAGCGGUGAAAGUCACUUUUCGUGACUGCCCCUUGUAUGGAGUUUAGUUGUCAGGUGACCGUAUGAGAAUAGUGUGUGGUUCCUCCUGUUUCGAUCGUUCAUUUAUAACCUUUUCCUAGAGUGUCCGUUUAAGCUGAAAUUUGACCCUUGGAGGUCUUCAACUGUAUCGGAUCCAAUGUUGAUGGUCCCACAGCAAUUUGACACACCAAAAAUAUAGUUCUAGUUAUAGGGUCCAUUUCAGGGUGCUAGAGGCUGAUUCUAUGAACUCGUUUAUUUGUCUGCACUGCCUUAGACAUGUCGGAAUGCGACGAAACUUGGUAAGAGACUUUUGAGAGUCCUUGUGAAGAUCUUGACCAGCUCUGGGGCCAUUCGGAGACUGUCAGAAUUUCCACUGUAUGUUAGUCUUUAUUGACCGAGGACCCAUGAUGAUGAAAAAUAUCUUCCAACAGAUAGUAAUGUGAUAUCUGAUAAGACCUAUGUGGUCAUCUAUGUGACAUGUGAUAUUUGAUUGAUUGGCAUGUUAUGAGCGUAUCGCAUGACCAUAUUGUGAAUGUGAUUGAUUGGCAUGCUUUGAGCAUAUUGCAUGACCAUACUGUGAUAUGUAAUUGAUUGGCAUGCUUUGAACGUAUUGUAUGGUCAUACUGUGAUAUGUGAUUGAUUGGCUUGCUUUGAACAUUUGCAUGACCAUACUGGGAAUGUGAUUGAUUUGCAUGCUUUGAGCGUAUUGCAUGACCAUACUGUGAAUGAGAUCUCUUGGCAUGCUUUGAGCGUAUUGCAUGACCAUGAGGUGAUAUGAGAUUUAUCGACAUGCUUUGAGCGUAUUGCAUUACCUGACAUGUGGCCUCUUCGAUUCGCCCAAUGAUAGGACGGGAGUCGGGGUAGGUGAUGAUUGGGUGGUACCUAGAAGGUAUAACAAUCCUAACCAUGGUGGCAUAAGGGAUAGUUUUUUUGCAAGGUUAUCGCCUAUCGAAAGCCCCAAAGCGUGUUGGAGACUGUGUAUGUGUAUGUGAAAGCAAUACAAAGUGACAAAGUGGGUCAUCUACUUAUCAUUGUUUUCUCUCCCAAGUCAUGGUAGAAGUCUUAAGCAAUGGGAUUGGCUUAGCCUGAUGAAUAGGGCUUCUACUUCAAGAGUAGGCAAAGUAGGGAGUGAGUUAGUGGAAAUGGUUGUUAUUCACCUUAAUAUGUUAAUUGCCAAGAUUUAUAUAGUUGCAUGAUUUGAUUGACCCCCACAUCAUAUCAUAUAUGAUUAAUCUGAUUUGUUAUCGCUUCACUAUGAACCAUGCACGACACACUAAUGAAUAUGAUUAUGACACAUGACUCAUGUUUUAUAACAACAGUAUAGAACCUUGUACAUUGUUGUAAAUGAUAUUCAUAGGCUGGGAAGCAUGAUGUUUGAUCUACUUACUGGGAUUUAUAGCUCAUUUUGUUUGCUUCCAUCCUUGUAAAUUACUAGCUGCAGGUCGAGGACGUACGGGUAGUGUUCGUUACUGGCGGUUGAAGACCCGAGCUUGGCGAGAUAACUCCCUUUAGAUUUUAGGUGUUAGAUGGUCGUUGGCCUUGUAAUUGUUGUUUGUGAAGUUAUGUAUUUUGUUGUUGAUGCCUUGGACUAUUUGUAUAGAUUAAGUUUGGUUUUAAUUUAUCCAAUUUUUGUUAUGGUUCUA